GGUUGUGUUAGAUAUAUGCAAGAGAAAGGACUUGUCUUCGGUUCAGAAUCUCGAAAAGGUUAUGGUUUUGCCUGUUGGGUCUCACCAUAUCAAAUCCGGUUUAAGGAUUCGGAUUUCACCUGAGCUUUUGCAGAGAGAUUCGUCUCUUGGAGUGGAUAGUGAAGCAACGUUCGUCAGUUACGCAGAUUCCAAGCUUGGUUUCACUAACAAGACUCUUGCUACUGUGUGAAUCUGAAAUGAAAUUGGCUGAUGAAACCAUAGAGAUAAUACUAGAUAAGGUUUGUGAUGGUCUAUUUUAAUAACAAAAGUUUUUUUUUCUUUCUAGCAAGUUAUACCAUUAGUAACUAAAGUUUUAAACUUCGUCUCUUUCUUUUUCUGCAUUAAUGAACAGACAUUUGAAGAUGCAGACGUGAAUCAGGAUGGAAAGAUUGAUAAACUGGAGUGGAGCGAUUUCGUAAACAAGAACCCAUCACUACUUAAGAUCAUGACACUCCCAUAUCUCAGGUAUUCAUGGGAACCAGAACUCAAGUAUACUUGAAAAGUUAAGAAAUGAAAUGGCAGAUAAGUUUUCUAAACGUAUGCAUAUAAAUCUGCGCAGGGAUAUAACGACAACGUUUCCGAGCUUUAUCUUUAACUCGGAGGUGGAUGAGAUUGUCACAUGAAGAAACAAAACCAAGUUCUGAGUUGAUCGGUGUAGUCCACAACAGCUGUUUGCAAACACACACAGUAGAUCAUAUAUUUCUUUUCUUUAAAUUGUUUCUCUUACAUAGUAUUUUUCAUAUUCUGGGUUCCUAUUUUCUUCUCAGAACAUUUUUGAAAUCCUUGGUUUUUUAGCUUUAAAUAGAGCUUAAAUCACCCAUUCUCCACGUCAUGUAUACACAGAAAAUGUUUUACGAGUUUGUACAUAGCACACAUCAAUACGUUUGUAAAGAUUAAAGAUUUUACGCAUACAAAAAGAAAAAAAGAUUUGUUACGUUAUAGGUCUGAUUGUUCCAAUUGAAUAUUAUAACUGCCAAAACUGUAAAGUAAGAUUUUAUCGAGCCCUUUUACCGUAAAAACAAAAAGUUACAAAUGUCUUUGGACCAAAUGAAAUUCACGGUUUUGCCACUCGUCUUCUCUCUCGACUCCAAGUUCCGACCAAUCUAGGGUUCUUCACAUCCCUCGUGUGCUCUCUCUCAUUUGCUAAAUUCUAGAUUCAGAUGCUUAGGAAACGGAACUUAGUUAUUGAAUCGAUUCGUCGCAUAUCUUCGAAAUCAAAUCUGUUCAGCAGCACUAGUGUUCAACCUGCUACACUAAGCUGGGAAGCUUCUUCCCAAGUGAUACUCAACAAGAAGCUCGAAACAGCUCUCAAGCAUCACCGUGUGGAUGACGCGUGGGACGUGUUCAAAGAUUACAAACGUCUCUACGGGUUUCCAGAUAGUUCCAUCAUGAACAGGUUCGUCACUGUCUUGUCUUACUCCUCCGACCCCGCUUGGCUUUGCAAGGCUGAUGAUCUCUCUCGUCUAGCUUUAAAGCAGAACUCAGGUCUCGUAAACUCCGAUGCGUUAACUAAGUUGUUACUCUCUCUAGCGAGAGCUCAGAUGUCUGAAUCCGCUUGUAACAUACUCCGGACAAUGCUGGAGAAGGGGUUUGUUGUAACCUCUGAUGUGUUGAGGCUUGUGGUGAUGCAUAUGGUGAAGACAGAGGUCGGGACUUGCUUAGCUUCGAAUUAUUUAGUUCAGUUUUGUAAUCGGUUCAUGGAAUUAAAAAGGAAUAGUAAUGUCGUGAAGCCUGAUACGGUUGUGUUUAAUCUCGUGCUUGGUUCUUGUGUGAGGUUUGGAUUCUCUCUCAAAGGCCAAGAGCUUAUCGAGCUGAUGGCGAAAGUCGAUGUGGUUGCGGAUGCGCACUCGGUUGUGAUCAUGUCUUGUGUUUAUGAAAUGAAUGGGAUGAGAGACGAGUUGAAGAAGCUCAAGGAAGGUAUCGGUCGUGUCCCGAGUCAGCUUCUUUGUCACUAUCGUCGUUUGUAUGAUAAUUUGUUAAGCCUUGAGUUCAAGUUUGAUGAUGUUUGUUCCGCGGGUCGGGUUGUGUUAGAUAUAUGCAAGAGAAAGGACUUGUCUUCGGUUCAGAAUCUCGAAAAGGUUAUGGUUUUGCCUGUUGGGUCUCACCAUAUCAAAUCCGGUUUAAGGAUUCGGAUUUCACCUGAGCUUUUGCAGAGAGAUUCGUCUCUUGGAGUGGAUAGUGAAGCAACGUUCGUCAGUUACGCAGAUUCCAAGCUUGGUUUCACUAACAAGACUCUUGCUAAGUUGGUA
rnacentral:lncRNA from 1 species